UUUGACUUCUCAUCCUUUUCUGAACUUCUUUUUCCAAAAGUUUUGCUUUUAGUCACACUGUUUUCUCAGGACUAGCAGGAAGGUUUUCAUUCAACUUGUCAUGAGAAUGGUCAAAGGAGGAUCUUCUAUCAUUUUCUGGUAAGGAAAAGUCAACUUCAUAGUCCAUUGUUCGAGAGCCCUCAGUGGAAUCUAAUCUAGAAUCACGUUGUAGAACUACAAAUAGGUCGUUAGGCUCC
rnacentral:lncRNA from 1 species